CAAGUUUGCAUUUAUUCACAUGUCUUGAUUUAUCUCAUUUACUCAUUGUAUUUAAUUCUUAGGAGUGGAUGAUACAAUAGCAAAUUCAGUGGAAUUUCAAGAGACUAAAUGCAGAUGGGUACUGGUUCCAAACAGAAGCUUUGUAAAGAAAGCUGAAGGUACAAGGCAUUCAUGCUAAAGGUUUACUUGGAAUGGUAGAGAGGAGGAACUGGAAACGAGUUUAGGACCACUGAUCUAGACCCAAGAAAACUUUACUGUAGAACAAAUGCUUUGGAUUGGGAAUUAUACAGAAUUCACUUCGGAGCAAUUUUCAAAGAGGACACUCAGAUAAUUUCGUUUCCUGGCCUCCAGGAAGGAUUCAAGGUAAGAUGUUCUCAUGCAAGCAAGUGAGGGAGCUCAUCCCUGAUGGCCAGGAUCCAGAGGCAGGAUAACCCAG
rnacentral:lncRNA from 1 species